AUUGAACGCUGGCGGCAGGCUUAACACAUGCAAGUCGAGCGAGCGGCGGACGGGUGAGUAAUGUAUGGGGAACUGCCCGAUAGAGGGGGAUAACUACUGGAAACGGUGGCUAAUACCGCAUACUAUCGGAUGAACCCAUAUGGGAUUAGCUAGUAGGUGGGGUAAAGGCUCACCUAGGCGACGAUGCAUAGCUGGUCUGAGAGGAUGAUCAGCCACACUGGGACUGAGACACGGCCCAGACUCCGACGGGAGGCAGCAGUAGGGAAUAUUGCACAAUGGGCGAAAGCCUGAUGCAGCCAUGCCGCGUGUGUGAAGAAGGCCUUCGGGUUGUAAAGCUCUUUCAGCAGGGAGGCGUUACCCACAGAGAAAGCAACGGCUAACUCCGUGCCAGCAGCCGCGGUAAUAC
rnacentral:rRNA from 1 species